rnacentral:rRNA from 1 species
AUAAGCGACUAUACUGUGAAACUGCGAAUGGCUCAUUAAAUCAGUUAUGGUUUAUUUGAUGGUACCUACUACUUGGAUAACCGUAGUAAUUCUAGAGCUAAUACAUGCAGGAAGACCCGACUUCGGAAGGGUUGUAUUUAUUAGAUAAGAAACCAAUCCAGCUUGCUGGUUGCGUGCCGAGUCACAAUAACUGCUCGAAUCGCACGGCUUUACGCCGGCGAUGGUUCAUUCAAAUUUCUGCCCUAUCAGCUUUCGAUGGUAGAAUCGAGGCCUACCAUGGCGUUUACGGGUAACGGAGAAUUAGGGUUCGAUUCCGGAGAGGGAGCCUGAGAGAUGGCUACCACAUCCAAGGAAGGCAGCAGGCGCGUAAAUUGCCCGAAUCCUGACACAGGGAGGUAGUGACAAGAAAUAACAAUACAGGGCUACAUCUAGUCUUGUAAUUGGAAUGAGUACAAUUUACAUCUCUUCACGAGGAUCAAUUGGAGGGCAAGUCUGGUGCCAGCAGCCGCGGUAAUUCCAGCUCCAAUAGCGUAUAUUAAAGUUGUUGCAGUUAGAACGCUCGUAGUCGGAUUUCGGGGCGGGGCGACCGGUCUGCCGAUGGGUACGCACUGGUGGUCGCGUCCUUCCUUCCGGAGACCGUGCCUACUCUUAACUGAGCGGGUGCGGGAGACGGAACGUUUACUUUGAAAAAAUCAGAGUGUUUCAAGCAGGCAGCUCGCUCUUGCAUGGAUUAGCAUGGGAUAAUGAAAUAGGACUUUGGUGCUAUUUUGUUGGUUUCGAACACCGAAGUAAUGAUGAGAAGGGACAGUCAGGGGCAUUUGUAUUCGACCG